rnacentral:rRNA from 1 species
CAGCAGCCGCGGUAAUACGUAGGUCCCGAGCGUUGUCCGGAUUUAUUGGGCGUAAAGCGAGCGCAGGCGGCUAGAUAAGUCUGAAGUUAAAGGCUGUGGCUUAACCAUAGUACGCUUUGGAAACUGUUUAACUUGAGUGCAAGAGGGGAGAGUGGAAUUCCAUGUGUAGCGGUGAAAUGCGUAGAUAUAUGGAGGAACACCGGUGGCGAAAGCGGCUCUCUGGUUUGUAACUGACGCUGAGGCUCGAAAGCGUGGGGAGCAAACAGGAUUAGAUACCCGGGUAGUCCCUGUCUCUUAUACA